rnacentral:rRNA from 1 species
UACGUAGGGGGCAAGCGUUAUCCGGAUUUACUGGGUGUAAAGGGAGCGUAGACGGAUAAGCAAGUCUGAUGUGAAAAUCCGGGGCCCAACCCCGGAAUUGCAUUGGAAACUGCAUAUUUAGAGUGUCGGAGAGGCAAGUGGAAUUCCUGGUGUAGCGGUGAAAUGCGUAGAUAUCAGGAGGAACACCAGUGGCGAAGGCGGCUUGCUGGACGAUGACUGACGUUGAGGCUCGAAAGCGUGGGGAGCAAACAGG